UACACGCUCCUUAGAUCCUCUUACGGGAUUGGAUGAUCUCCUAUCCGGCAACUUCAUCGGUUGUUUUUAAUCGUAAGAGAUUGAGUCAUUGGCGUGUGAGAUUACCUUGAUGGAUCUGGAUUUGCUGUUACUUGAUUUCAUUUCUUGAGUGUGUAAAUAUUCACAGUUAUAAGUGACGUCAUUUCAGUAAUUUGGACAAA
rnacentral:snoRNA from 1 species